rnacentral:rRNA from 1 species
CCUGUUUAUCAAAAACAUUUCUAAUUGUAUAAUUAGUAGGCCCUGCUCACUGGGUUAAAGAGCCGCAGUAUAUUAACUGUGCUAAGGUAGCAUAAUAAUUAGGCUUUUUAUUGAAGUCUAGGACGAAGGGGUUGAUGAUUUUUUGACUUUUCAAUCUAGAAAAAGAAUUUUAUUUCUAAGUUAAAAAGCUUAGCUUUUUAGAGGGACGAUAAGACCCUGUAAAGCUUUACUUCUAAAGAAUUUUCAUUUAUUACAAGGAGUUAAGCUGGGGCGGCAAAUAAGAUCCUUUAAUUUACGUAACUACCUACUUGAGGCGCAAGAUCUCUGGAGAAUUAGAAUAAGCUACUUCAGGGAUAACAGCGUGAUUUUUCUAAAGAGAUCUUAUUUACAGGAAAGUCUUCGGACCUCGAUGUUGAAUUGGGGGCCUAAAUUAGCAGAUAUCUCAGGUGUCUUUCGACUUUAAACCCUCCGUAAUCUGAGUUCAGACC